UGGGACACUGGUGUGCACAGCUGAGGC
rnacentral:piRNA from 1 species